UACGUAGGGUGCGAGCGUUGCCCGGAAUUAUUGGGCGUAAAGAGCUCGUAGGCGGUCUGUCGCGUCUGCUGUGAAAACUCAGGGCUUAACCCUGAGCUUGCAGUGGGUACGGGCAGACUAGAGUGCGGUAGGGGAGACUGGAAUUCCUGGUGUAGCGGUGAAAUGCGCAGAUAUCAGGAGGAACACCGGUGGCGAAGGCGGAUCUCUGGGCCAUUACUGACGCUGAGGAGCGAAAGCGUGGGGAGCGAACAGG
rnacentral:rRNA from 1 species